AAGGCCUUCGGGUUGUAAACCGCUUUUGUCAGGGAAGAAACGGGUUUCUCUAAUACAGAGACCUAAUGACGGUACCUGAAGAAUAAGCACCGGCUAACUACGUGCCAGCAGCCGCGGUAAUACGUAGGGUGCGAGCGUUAAUCGGAAUUACUGGGCGUAAAGCGUGCGCAGGCGGUUAUGCAAGACAGAGGUGAAAUCCCCGGGCUCAACCUGGGAACUGCCUUUGUGACUGCAUAGCUGGAGUACGGUAGAGGGGGAUGGAAUUCCGCGUGUAGCAGUGAAAUGCGUAGAUAUGCGGAGGAACACCGAUGGCGAAGGCAAUCCCCUGGACCUGUACUGACGCUCAUGCACGAAAGCGUGGGGAGCAAACAGGAUUAGAUACCCUGGUAGUCCACGCCCUAAACGAUGUCUACUGGUUGUUGGGAGGGUUUCUUCUCAGUAACGAAGCUCACGCGUGAAGUUGACCGCCUGGGGAGUACGGCCGCAAGGUUGAAACUCACAGGAAUUGACGGGGACCCGCACAAGCGGUGGAUGAUGUGGUUUAAUUCCAUGCAACGCGAAAAACCUUACCUACCCUUGACAUGUCAUAGAUC
rnacentral:rRNA from 1 species